rnacentral:rRNA from 1 species
UACGUAGGGGGCAAGCGUUGUCCGGAUUUAUUGGGCGUAAAGAGCGUGUAGGCGGCCAGAUAGGUCCGUUGUGAAAACUGGAGGCUUAACCUCCAGCGGUCGAUGGAAACCAUCUGGCUAGAGUCCGGAAGAGGAGAGUGGAAUUCCUGGUGUAGCGGUGAAAUGCGCAGAUAUCAGGAAGAACACCAAUGGCGAAAGCAGCUCUCUGGGACGGUACUGACGCUGAGACGCGAAAGCGUGGGGAGCGAACAGG